GGGUCAUUAGCUCAGUUGGUAGAGCAGUGGACUUUUAAUCCAUUGGUCGAUGGUUCGAGCCCAUCAUGACCCACCA
rnacentral:tRNA from 1 species